UACGGAGGGGGCUAGCGUUGCUCGGAAUCACUGGGCGUAAAGGGUGCGUAGGCGGGUCUUUAAGUCAGGGGUGAAAUCCUGGAGCUCAACUCCAGAACUGCCUUUGAUACUGAGGAUCUUGAGUUCGGGAGAGGUGAGUGGAACUGCGAGUGUAGAGGUGAAAUUCGUAGAUAUUCGCAAGAACACCCGUGGCGAAGGCGGUUCUCUGGGACGGUACUGACGCUGAGACGCGAAAGCGUGGGGAGCGAACAGG
rnacentral:rRNA from 1 species